GGCGCACCAGGCGAGAAUCUUUCACAAUGGGCGCAAGCCUGAUGGAGCGACGCCGCGUGGGGGAUGAAUGGCUUCGGCCCGUAAACCCCUGUCAUUCGCGAUCAACCCUUGCUAUUUAAAAGAUGGCAAGCUGAUAGUAGCGGAAGAGGAAGGGACGGCUAACUCUGUGCCAGCAGCCGCGGUAAUACAGAGGUCCCAAGCGUUGUUCGGAUUCACUGGGCGUAAAGGGUGCGUAGGUGGUGAGGUAAGUCGGAUGUGAAAGCUCGGAGCUCAACUCCGAAAUGGCAUUGGAAACUACCUUGCUCGAGGAAUGGAGGGGGGACUGGAAUUCUCGGUGUAGCAGUGAAAUGCGUAGAUAUCGAGAGGAACACCAGUGGCGAAGGCGAGUCCCUGGACAUCUCCUGACACUGAGGCUCGAAAGCUAGGGGAGCAAACAGGAUUAGAUACCCCGGU
rnacentral:rRNA from 1 species